AAUACAUUGUCACGAUGAAAUGACAAAAGAAAGAAAAAGAACAAGGACAAAUAAAAAUGCCUCACGGAUGACGCGACGCUUCCAGAGACAAGUGAUCGCUUCUUCUUCUCCUUCGUGCCUUUCUUUAGUUUUCUUUAAAUUCCAA
rnacentral:ribozyme from 11 species